rnacentral:rRNA from 1 species
CAGUCGCCGCGGGAACACGUAGGUGGCAAGCGUUGUCCGGAAUUAUUGGGCGUAAAGCGCGCGCAGGCGGAUAGGUCAGUCUGUCUUAAAAGUUCGGGGCUUAACCCCGUGAUGAGAUGGAAACUGCCAAUCUAGAGUAUCGGAGAGGAAAGUGGAAUUCCUAGUGUAGCGGUGAAAUGCGUAGAUAUUAGGAAGAACACCAGUGGCGAAGGCGACUUUCUGGACGAAAACUGACGCUGAGGCGCGAAAGCCAGGGGAGCGAACGGGAUUAGAUACCCCCGUAGUCCCUGUCUCUUAUACA